rnacentral:lncRNA from 1 species
CACUGGUGGACAGAUGCUGGUGCUGAGAAGAAACAUGUUUGGUUUGGAGAAUCUAUGAAUGGUGGCUUUCAGUUCAGCUAUGGCAAUCCUGAUCUUCCUGAAGAUGUCCUUGAUGUACAGCUGGCCUUCCUCAGACUUCUUUCCAGCCGGGCCUCCCAGAACAUUACAUACCACUGCAAAAACAGCAUUGCCUACAUGGAUCAGGCCAAUGGCAAUGUAAAGAAGUCUCUGAAGCUGAUGGGAUCCAAUGAGGGAGAAUUCAAGGCUGAAGGAAAUAGCAAAUUCACUUACACAGUUCUAGAGGAUGGCUGCACUGUAAGUAACAAUGUCUUUUCACAUAGGGUGGCAAAUAUACUCAAAAUUUAUUGCUUAAUCAUCCAAGCUAUUUUGAGAAGCAAUAAAAUCAGUAAGGGAGACAAAAGCUGAUUGGAAGCAGGAAUUAUAUAACCUCUACUUAAUUCUUAUGGGAAGAUGGUAAAUAUUUGAAAAAAUUGAAUAGCUCUUAACUUCUAGAUGAAAUGUUGAAAUAAAAAUGAUUGAAAUUUAAAUUUAUAAAAACAACUUUGAUAAUGGGGAUAUUCACUGUAAAUUACACAUACUGUUAAUUAUAUGAGGUAUGUCAGAUGUUACUAUUGCCUUAAAAACGUAACGAGUUAAGAUCUAUUCUUUUUUUUCUCAUAAGUCAUUAAGUGGGCUAACUGACCUCUAAUGUGAGCCAU